rnacentral:rRNA from 1 species
AUACGGAGGGGGCAAGCGUUAUUCGGAUUUACUGGGCGUAAAGCGCGCGUAGGCGGUCUGUUUAGUCAGGCGUGAAAUCCCUGGGCUCAACCCAGGAACUGCGUUUGAUACUGGCGGACUAGAGUUCGGGAGAGGAGAGUGGAAUUCCCAGUGUAGAGGUGAAAUUCGUAGAUAUUGGGAAGAACACCAGUGGCGAAGGCGGCUCUCUGGAACGAUACUGACGCUGAGGUGCGAAAGCGUGGGGAGCAAACAGGAUUAGAAACCCCGGUAGUCC